rnacentral:tRNA from 1 species
AUUUAAAUAGCUUAUAAAGAGUAUAAUAUUGAAGAUAUUAAGGAGAUUAAUAAAUCUUUAGAUA